rnacentral:rRNA from 1 species
UACGUAGGCAGCAAGCGUUGUUCGGAAUUACUGGGCGUAAAGAGUGUGUAGGCGGUGCUCUAAGUCUGUUGUGAAAUCUCCCGGCUUAACCGGGAGGGUGCGGCGGAAACUGGAGCGCUUGAGGGUGGGAGAGGUAAGCGGAAUUCCUGGUGUAGCGGUGAAAUGCGUAGAUAUCAGGAGGAACACCUGUGGUGUAGACAGCUUACUGGACCACUUCUGACGCUGAGACACGAAAGCGUGGGUAGCAAACAGG